rnacentral:rRNA from 1 species
CCUGAGAAACCCGAAAGAUGGUGAACUAAACUACAUCGUCAUCGAUUAUGGUACGGUGCGGUUCGGGAUGUCCGAGAUUUCAGUCUUACGGAACUCGUCCGCAUGUUUUUAUUUCCAAAAUCGUCGGCGUGCACUUCUCCCCUAGUAGGACGUCGCGACCCGUUGGGUGUGGGUCUACGGCACGGUAGGGCAGUCUGUCUCGUUUGGGCGCUGUACGGCGUUCAACGCGGGGCAAACCUCCGUCCGCCCGACCGACUGCCCGGCGGUACUCGCACGAUAUCUAGCCGCAGGCAUACAAACUGCGUCCGGCCCGUCGCAAGCGGGGCAAGUGUUUCCCGGCUGUACGGAUCUAAUGCCGUCACCGGGCCUUGCCAGCUGUUGGUUGACGGUGUCCUGGGACUGGCUAACAUUAUUAUGAUCUCGGUCGGCGACGGUAAGGCCUUGGGUACUUUCAGGACCCGUCUUGAAACACGGACCAAGGCGUCUACGAGUCGUGUUGCUUGAUAGUGCAGCUC